UACGAAGGGGGCUAGCGUUGUUCGGAAUCACUGGGCGUAAAGGGCGCGUAGGCGGCUUUAUAAGUCGGGGGUGAAAGCCUGUGGCUCAACCACAGAAUUGCCUUCGAUACUGUAGAGCUUGAGACCGGAAGAGGUAAGUGGAACUGCGAGUGUAGAGGUGAAAUUCGUAGAUAUUCGCAAGAACACCAGUGGCGAAGGCGGCUCACUGGCCCGA
rnacentral:rRNA from 1 species